rnacentral:lncRNA from 1 species
AAAAAAAAAGAAUUUCGGAUUACAGUGGAUGUGAGUAUUUUCUUUUACUUCUUGUAACGUAUAUUGGUAAAAAAAUAAGUUAUCGACGUAUUGUUGUGUAAAUAGAAAUCAAUGUGUGCGUACAUGUAUAGUUGUGCAGGUUGAUGUGCUGUACAAGCACCCUAUUUAUGGAUUUCUCUCUGUUUCCUCUAAGUUACAAUAUUAUCUUUUCGUAGUUAUUUGAAAGAUCACUCAUUUAUUGGAUUUUUCUUGUUCAUACCAUUAAACACUUCCAAAUUCCAAUGCCUUAAACUUCUUUCUGUUUCUUAAUACUAUUCCUUGAUAUCCAUUCUUCUUUACCAAACAUGCUGUUUGAGAACUUGUAGUCCUAAGAAUUCAGCUCCUUUGUUGUCGAACUGUUUUUACUGUCUGCGGUUAUAAUAUCAGGGCUUUCUUAUUCUACCAGCUGCUUUGUUG